rnacentral:lncRNA from 1 species
GGGGCUGGGGGUUGGGGGGGGGGAGAGCUGGAGAGGUUGGUUCAUCAGACUAGACGACCCAGCUGAGCUAAUACUCUGCAGAGAGACAAGCCCAGAAUUACAGAUUCACAGAGACCACUUUCACUGUUGCACACUCUUGGAUUCACACUGUGGUCAUAACUACAUAAGCAUUGUGGUUUAAAUGACAGUGACCUGCAUAGCAUAAGUGCUUAUAUUUGAAAGCUUAGUCACCAGGGAAUAGAUCUCUUUGAAAGGAUUAGAAGGGUUAGGAGGUGUGGCCUUGUUGGAGGAGGUGUGUCAGUGGGGGUUGGACUUUGAGGUUUCAAAAGCCCAUCCCAGUCUUUCCUCCCUCUCCCCCUCGCCCUUCCUCUCUCCCUCUCCCUCUGUAUGUGUGUGUGUGUGCAUGCAUGCUUGUAUGUCUUCGUCCCCCUCUCCUGCCUGCUGAUCUGGAUGUAGAACUCUCAGCUCCUUCUCCAGCACCAUGCCUGCCUGCACGCUGCCAUGCUUCUCAGCAUGAUGAUAAUGGACUGAAUCUCUGAAACUGUAAGUAGACCCCAAUUUAAUGCUUUCUUUUCUAAGAGUCACUGCGGUCAUGGUGUCUCUUUACAACAGUCAAACACUGACUAAGACAACAAGGAAACCUGUAGGCGCUGUUGCAAAGGCUCAGGAGAGCACCUCUGGUACCUUGCUCCCUCCACUAACAGUUGCAAGACCAAGAAAGUCUG